rnacentral:lncRNA from 1 species
UAUGAAAAUAGUAGACCUACACAAGGCCUUUGGUCUGAUUCUCUACUGUUCUCUCCAUAGAGUACUCUCUCACUCCCCAAGAAUACAUAGAAUAAUGAAGACACAUCCUGUGUAGGCUAAUACAUGCAACGAAUAGCCACUGAAAGAUGAAAAUAGGAGACCCAUAUGGGUUUUGAUGGGGAUAACGUCAAAGGGGCAGGCUACACUCAGUAAUACAAUAAAGUGUUACAGCGUUUGUGUUCAGCACAUUCUUUGCUUGUAAUCUGUUAAUUACUCACAGUAACAUUUGACACUUUAUCAUCUUAAUGGUAAUGUUUAGUUGAUGUAUUCAGGCACUAUAACCACUAUCUACUGUAUGUAUGAGGUCCUACAGCUGCGCCACUUGUUACUUCCUGACUGAGUCACUGCUCAACUUGAUUAGAAAAGCCAUACAUGACAAGCGAGGGUGGGGCGCUCUAUGUUGAACCAACACUUUCUCACCAUACACAUGUCUACUGGAAGACCAGUCAUUGUUAUAAGAUGAGCAUAAACAUACCUGCUGCGUUUUGGUCCUCCUUUACCAACGACAACUGUGACAGAAUCUCCCACCACCAAAGGACCAAGCAGCAGAGGAAGGAGCAAAGGGAUUUCGAGUUGGACUGGCGGGAGAAAUGGACCUGGGAGGAAGUUCUGGACGGGGCUGGACCUUGGCACCAGGCUGGGGAGUACCGUCGCCCACGGGAGGAAAUUGAGGCAGCCAAGGCAGAGAGGCGGAGGUACGAGGCCUUGGACGCGCUGAGGGAGAAGCACGAGAGGCACCCCCAAUAAUUAUUUUGGGGGGGCACACGGGUAGUUUGGCUAGGCCAAGGAAGAGCCGGAAGCCAGCUACCCGUGGUUAUAUGGAGGAGCGUAUGAGGUGGAGGGCGCCAUGUUUCGCUGAAGAGCGCACUCUCACCCAUACGCACGCACAGUCCAGUGCGCGUUAUUCCAGCCCCUCGCAGGUGCUGUGCUAGAGUGGGCAUCCAGCCUGGUAGGAGGAUGCCUGCGCAGCGCAUCUGGUCGCCGGUACGCCUCCGAGGACCAGGCUACCCAACUCCCGCUCUACGCACGGCUACCAUCAGGCCCCUGCACAGCCCAGUCCACCCUGUACAAACACCCCGCUCGUACAGGGCUACUAGUUCCAUCCAGCCAGGACGGGUUGUGCAGGAGGUAAGAUCAAGACCGCCUGUGCGCCUCCAUAGCCCGGUGUUUCCAGUUCCUGUCUCUCGUGCGGACCCGGAAGUGCGUCAGCCUAGUCCGACUCGUCCUGUUCCCGCUCCCCGCACUAGCCUGGAGGUACGUGUUCCCAGUCUGGUACGUCCAGUACCAGCACCACGCACCAGGCUUCAAGUGCGUCAUCCCAGUCUGACGUCACCAGAGCCGCCCGUCAGUCAAGAGUCGCCAGAGCCGCCCGUCAGUCAAGAGUCGCCAGAGCCGCCCGUCAGUCGAGUCGCCAGAGCCGCCCGUCAGUCAUGAGUCGCCAAAGCCGCCCACUAGUCAGGAGCCGCCAAAGCCGCCAGACUGCCCGGAGCUGCCAGAGUGGCCAGACUGCCCGGAGCUGCCAGAGUGGCCAGACUGCCCGAAGCUGCCAGAGUGGCCAGACUGCCCGGACCUGCCAGAGUGGCCCAUCGGCCCAGAGUCUAGCAACAACCUUGAACUGAUGGGAGGAGUCGGAGUGACCAGCCAGUAACCAGUACAUGGAUACAGCCAACUGUGCUUUCUCAGAUCCUUCACCAUCAAGGCUGAAGGGAAUGACGGCCCCAUUCGAGUGUGAUGGUGGAGAUGAUUCAGUCUAUGGUAACGUGUGAACACAACAGGAAGCAUGUGGAAGUCAGCUGGCCCAGAGCCCAUGGUACUCAGUCUGUCAAAGGUUUCAGUAAAAUAUUAUGUAGCAGAACUGGUGACUGCUUAUAUUUGUUAGCUUGAUGUAGCUUUAUGGUUCUAAUGACAAAAGAAUAUGGUACAUUCUUAUUUGGGCUGUGGCUUUGUUAUAGCUUUUACAAGGCUUAUGUUUAUUAUCUGUGGCUUGGGUAAUUCAGAAAUGUUUUUUACUAAAUGUCAUUUAUACACAAUACAAACCAGUAUUUAGCUAUAUCUCCUUUCACACUUCCCAGAUGUCUGUUGAAAUUGUGUCUUGAGGGUAAUCUGAGGAUAGAAUACGAGUGUGGGACUUUCAGUUCCUCCAUUUGGGGUUGCUCUUUCAUUUAUUGAGAUGUUCAACGUCUGUUUAUUUCCAUAGGGUUUGAGUUAUUUCACAAUACUGAUUUUGUCAAUAUACUGCCGCAUUAGGUUUUUUGACCCUCUAUAAUAACAUACCAGUAACAGUUAUGCAAAUCAGAUUAUAAUGCAUUUGAAUUAGGUUAUGAUUGU